rnacentral:rRNA from 1 species
GAAUUAGCGGCGAACGGGUGAGGAUCACGUGAGAAACCUGCCCCAGACUUUGGGAUAACAGUUGGAAACGACUGCUAAUACCGAAUGACGUCGGAGAACCGCAUGGUUCACUGACGAAAGAUAUUUCGGUUUGGGAGGGUCUCGCGGCCUAUCAGCUUGUUGGUGGGGUAAUGGCCUACCAAGGCAACGACGGGUAGCCGGCCUGAGAGGGUGACCGGCCACACUGGGACUGAGACACGGCCCAGACUCC